rnacentral:rRNA from 1 species
AGCAGCCGCGGUAAUUCCAGCUCCAAUAGCGUAUAUUAAAGUUGUUGCAGUUAAAAAGCUCGUAGUUGAAUUUCGGGGUCAGUAGAUUGGUCAUGCCACUGGUAUGUACUGGUCUCACUGAUUCCUCCUUCCUGAUGAGCCGUAAUGCCAUUAAUUUGGUGUUGCGAGGAAUCUGGACUGUUACUUUGAAAAAUUAGAGUGUUUAAAGCAGGCUAACGCUUGAAUACAUUAGCAUGGAAUAAUGAAAUAGGACGUUCGAUCUUAUUUUGUUGGUUUCUAAGAUUGACGUAAUGAUUAAUAGGGAUAGUUGGGGGCAUUAGUAUUCAAUUGUCAGAGGUGAAAUUCUUGGAUUUAUUGAAGACUAACUACUGCGAAAGCAUUUGCCAAGGAUGUUUUCAUUAAUCAAGAACGAAAGUUAGGGGAUCGAAGACGAUCAGAUACCGUCGUAGU